rnacentral:rRNA from 1 species
UACGGGGGGGAGCAAGCGUUGUUCGGAUUUACUGGGCGUAAAGGGCUCGUAGGCGGCCAACUAAGUCGGAUGUGAAAUCCCCAGGCUCAACCUGGGAACUGCAUCCGAUACUGGAUGGCUUGAAUUCGGGAGAGGGAUGCAGAAUUCCAGGUGUAGCGGUGAAAUGCGUAGAUAUCUGGAGGAAUACCGGUGGCGAAGGCGGCAUCCUGGACCGACAUUGACGCUGAGGAGCGAAAGCCAGGGGAGCAAAGCGGG